rnacentral:lncRNA from 1 species
UAUAUAUUUUCGACUUAAUAAUUUUAUUUUUUAAUUUUGUAUUUUAUAUUCAUGUUCAUUUUAGCCUUUUAAUUUAAAAAAGUUUAUAUCUAAACAAAAUAAUCCAGUUUAGAUAUUAUUGUUAGAUUAUCAUAAUUUUAGGAUUUUUAUGCUUCUUUGGUUAGCUAACACUUGUUCAUUUAGCUUGUAAUUGUGUAUAAUUGUGUAUUAAUUAUAUGUUCUCUUCAUGGGUCUCUUUUAGUUUUAA